rnacentral:rRNA from 1 species
UACGUAGGGGGCAAGCGUUGUCCGGAAUUAUUGGGCGUAAAGAGCGCGUAGGCGGUCCGAUAAGUCGGCUGUGAAAGUCCAGGGCUCAACCCUUGGAAGCCGGCCGAUACUGUCGGACUAGAGUCCGGAAGAGGCGAGUGGAAUUCCCGGUGUAGCGGUGAAAUGCGCAGAUAUCAGGAGGAACACCGGUGGCGAAGGCGGUUCUCUGGGCAUGUCCUGACGCUGAGGAGCGAAAGUGUGGGGAGCGAACAGG